UGAAAACACUGGGGCUGAAAUGCACAUCUCC
rnacentral:piRNA from 1 species